AGGGUGCUUGGGAUUAAUGUGUGCCCUGUGAGUACUAGAUUUCAUGGCCCCAUCACUUUCUGAAUAUCCUGAGGACCCUUCAAUCUGCCAUUCAAGAACCUGUUACCUGGCUCACUUUAUUGGUCUCCUCCAGUGUCUCCUACAUUUUCUAUUCAGCCAGUGCCCAGGGAGAAAAGAGGCAAACUACCUGACCUGGGUACUGGGAUCAAUUUAAGUCCUCUGUAAAAGCAGCACAUGCUCUUAAUCUCUGAACCAUCUCUCUAGCC